rnacentral:rRNA from 1 species
UACGGAGGGAGCUAGCGUUGUUCGGAAUUACUGGGCGUAAAGCGCACGUAGGCGGCUUUGUAAGUUAGAGGUGAAAGCCCGGAGCUCAACUCCGGAAUUGCCUUUAAGACUGCAUCGCUUGAAUCCGGGAGAGGUGAGUGGAAUUCCGAGUGUAGAGGUGAAAUUCGUAGAUAUUCGGAAGAACACCAGUGGCGAAGGCGGCUCACUGGACCGGUAUUGACGCUGAGGUGCGAAAGCGUGGGGAGCAAACAGG